UCUUAAAACUUUAUUGAUGGAACUGUGUUACUGUGAACGUUAUAUUUUACUUUUGGACUUUUAUAUUUAAAGAAACUUGGUUCAUUGGAAAUGUGGCCUAUCAUAUUCGCCCUUACACUCGCAGUGCUCCCGGCGGGGCGGCAUUGUUCCCGCCAGGGGGCGCCCCCCGCGACCACCACGCCGCUGCCCAACCCCAACUCUCGGCUCCACGUAAAACGGUGUCUUUGGUUGGAGAAUGAUAAUACAUUUGGUAAAAGAAUGCUCGGCGAUUUCAGUA